rnacentral:rRNA from 1 species
CAGCCGCCGCGGUAAUACGGAGGAUCCAAGCGUUAUCCGGAAUCAUUGGGUUUAAAGGGUCCGUAGGCGGUCUUGUAAGUCAGUGGUGAAAGCCCAUCGCUCAACGGUGGAACGGCCAUUGAUACUGCAGGACUUGAAUUAUUGGGAAGUAACUAGAAUAUGUAGUGUAGCGGUGAAAUGCUUAGAGAUUACAUGGAAUACCAAUUGCGAAGGCAGGUUACUACCAAUUGAUUGACGCUGAUGGACGAAAGCGUGGGUAGCGAACAGGAUUAGAUACCCGUGUAGUCCCUGUCUCUUAUAA